AAGUCACGGCUAACUACGUGCCAGCAGCCGCGGUAAUACGUAGGUGGCAAGCGUUAUCCGGAUUUACUGGGCGUAAAGUGUCCGUAGUCUGAAUUGUAAGUCUGUUUUCAAAUCCUACGACUCAAUCGUAGAAAGGGAAUGGAUACUGCAAUUCUGGAAGUAUCUAGGGGUUAGUGGAAUUUCCGGUGGAGCGGUGAAAUGCGUUGAUAUCGGAAGGAACGCCGAAAGCGAAAGCAGCUAACUAUAGAAUACUUGACGAUGAGGGACGACAGUUUGGGGAGCAAACAGGAUUAGAUACCCUGGUAGUCCAAACCGUAAAUUAUGCUUGCUAGAUGUUUUUAUCAAUUUAUUGGUAGGAGUGUCGUAAUCUAACGAGUUAAGCAAGCCGCCUGGGUAGUAUAUUCGCAAGAAUGAAACUCAAAGGGAUAGGCGGGGGAACACACAAGCAGUGGAUUAUCUAGAUUAAUUGGAUACUAAGCCAAGAAUCUUACCUAGGAUUGACAUGUAUUGUGUCUGCGGUGAAAGUCGCAUAUCCGUAGCAAUACGGAGCUUUACACAGGUGGUGCAUGGUCGUCGUCAGCUCGUGCCGCAAGGUGUCUAGUUAAGUCUGGAAACGAGCGCAACCCUCGUGUUUAGUUAGUAUGUCUAAACAGACUGCUCGGGUAACCGAGAGGAAGGAGAGGAUGACGUCAGAUCCUCAUGCCCCUUACACCUAGGGCCUCAUAGAUAAUACAAUGGGUAGGUACAGCGAGAAGCGAUACCGUGAGGUGGAGCAAAUCUUUAAAACUACCCCUAGUUCGGAUUGUAGUCUGGAACUCGACUACAUGAAGUUGGAAUUGCUAGUAAUGGCAGAUCAGCCAUGCUGCCGUGAAUACGUCCCUGUUCCUUGCACUCACCGCCC
rnacentral:rRNA from 1 species